AUUUGACCUUGAAUUUCAGUUGUGCAAGCGGGAGCCCCUUGGAGUCAGCCGCCUGCUAGAUUUUUUCCAGGACAGGGUCAGCUCAGGUCCACGAUCCUGUACACGUGGAGUCGGGACCGCUCUUCUGUCCGGUUUCCUCACUCAGCAUAAUUAUUUUGAGGAUCAUCCAUGUUGCGGCAUCAAUCGUCCCUUACAUUUUAUGUAUUUUUAUUUUAUUUUACUUUAUUAUUUAUUUGUUUAUUUAUUGCAUCUGGCUGGUGCAGGGACUGAAAAUUCAUUGCAUUUUAGUGCUGAGCUUUGUUCCAUUGUAUGGAUGAAUAGACCACACGCUGCUUACCCAUCACCUGUUGAUGGACUUUUGGGUUGUUUCCACUUUGGGGUUAUUACAAAUGAUAAUAAAUACUACUGUGUGCAGA